GACGAACGCUGGCGGCGCGCCUAACACAUGCAAGUCGAACGGAGCUGAGAGAAGCUUGCUUUUCUUAGCUUAGUGGCGAACGGGUGAGUAACGCGUGAGUAACCUGCCCUGGAGUGGGGGACAACAGUUGGAAACGACUGCUAAUACCGCAUAAGCCCACGAUCCGGCAUCGGAUUGAGGGAAAAGGAUUUAUUCGCUUCAGGAUGGACUCGCGUCCAAUUAGCUAGUUGGUGAGGUAACGGCCCACCAAGGCGACGAUUGGUAGCCGGACUGAGAGGUUGAGCGGCCACAUUGGGACUGAGACACGGCCCAGACUCCUACGGGAGGCAGCAGUGGGGGAUAUUGCACAAUGGGGGAAACCCUGAUGCAGCGACGCCGCGUGAAGGAAGAAGGUUUUCGGAUUGUAAACUCCUGUCGUUAGGGACGAUAAUGACGGUACCUAACAAGAAAGCACCGGCUAACUACGUG
rnacentral:rRNA from 1 species